AUGGAUCGCCAUGCGGACGCGUGUCCGUUUGGGUUGGCGCGUUGGACCGCCUUUUGUGUCCGCGCUGACCCAAACGGACGCCAGCAGACGAAAUGGUCGCCCCAUUGGAGUUGAUCUUAGGUCAGGGCCCCAUGAACCACUUUGUAUCCCUCUUCAUGUAAACUUUGAGAGUAAUAAAGUUUGGCCUUUCUUAAAAUAAAAAAUAAAACUUUGCUAGCUGGGAUUUAGUUUGCUCUCAUUCACGAGCACAUCCAUUGAAUCAAAAAGCGUGUUGCGAUUCGUGCAGAUGUCCCAGCAAAAGAAGUACGUGGCCUUCUUUGUUAUUUUAUUGGCUUGUUAUCGUGGUGGUGGCCCUUGUGGCCCGGCCUCCUUUGGUUGAUAGAUUCUUUUUCCCGAGGAACUUUGGUUAACAGAUGAAGUGGGAGUACGUACUGACGCCGCCUCAAAAAAAGAAAGGAAAAGUGUUCAAAUCACCCGAUGAUUUUCUGGACAAUUCAUCCGCGUCCAUGCAUGCCACGCGUCCAGGCGCCUGCACUGUGUCCCUCCCUUAUCUUCAGGCGUCUUCUUCCCCGCACCGGCUAUCUGGAAAAUUUCCCUUUUCUUUCUCCUACCUCUCCCUUCUUCCGUGCUUGUCUUUCCGUAUCACCUCUCUCUCUCUUGCAACCUGGCCGGCGGCCACCAGAGCCGCGAGUCGCCGCCGCUGUUGUCAUCAGUUGUUGCAACACACGGAAGGGAAAGUGCAGUGCUGCGAGCGCCUGAGGUACGGAGGUGAUGAGAUCUCGGCCCACAUCACUGCUGCAUCCCCGCUUCAUCCCGGCACCGGUGUUGCAAUGGAGCUUCGCCGGAGUUGAAUUGGAGCUUCGCUGGGAGGUGCCAGUGCUGCGUUGGAGCUCCUCUCGGGCUGCAGUGAAGCUUCGCCGGAGUUGUAUUGGAGCAUCACGGAGCCGCCGGUGCUGUGUUGGAGCUCCUCCCGGGCUGCAAUGGAGCUUCGCCGGAGUUGUAUUGGAGCUUCGCGGAGCCGCCGGUGCUGCGUUGGAGCUCCUCCCGGGCUGCAAUGGAGCCUCGGGCGGAGUUGCAUUGGAGCUCUGCCGGAGCCGUCGGUGCUGCGUUGGAGCUCCGCCGGAGGCUGCAACGGAGCUUUGUCGGUCGCGUCGGUGCUGCCAUGAGCGUCGGGGCGCCAGUGCUGCAUACGGUGGUCGCUUGGUCGGCAACGUCGACAACUGCUGCAUAUGGUGGCGAGCGUGGAGCAGAGCUAGUGCUGCGAUGGAGCAUCACAGGGGGUCGCAUGUGCUCCAACGGAGCAUCGUCGGCACCGCCGCCCGCCGGUCUAGUCGUCGGUGUUGUGAUGCAGAAUCGCGGCAGGCUAUGGAGAAGAGACAAGGUCAGGAAGGGGGUUGUCCUCGUGGAUGUCUAGCGAGAGAAGGAAGAUGGGCUUCGAGGCUACAGAUCGAACGGCCCGUACGCCUAAUCAGACGGCUCCUCAGACGGAUGAUAUUUUGCAAAUAUCAUCCGGAUGAUUUAUAGCAGCGGCCAAAAAGAAAACGUAGCGAUGCUGCCUUUUAUUAGAUGGGGUCGCACUGUGGGGUUUCAAAAAUGGAUCACAACGGCGGGUUUUCAAAUAUGGCCGCAACUGCAAGCUUUCAAGUCGGGUUGUAACUGCAAGUUUUUAAAUGGGGCAAGUUUUCAAAUCAGGUUUCACCUGCAAGUUUUUAAAUGGGCUCGCAACUGCAAGUAUUCAAGUCAGGCUGCAACUGCAGGUUUUCAUGUCGGUUGGCAACUGAAAGUUUUCAAGUCGAGUCGUAACAGCAAGUCUCCAAGUGGGGUCGCAACUCCAUGUUUUUAAAUGGGUUGUAACUAGAAGUUUUCAAGUGGCGACACAAUUGCAAGUUUUUAAGUCGGGUCGCCACUCCAAGUUUUCAAGUGGGUCGCAACUGUAGAUUCUCAAAUGGUUCAUAACUGUAAGUUUUCAUGUGCAGUCAUAACAACAAGUUUUUUAGUGGGGUCGCAGCUUCAAGUUUUCAAGUGGGGUCACAACUGCUAGUUUUUAAGUGGGGCCGCAAUUGCAAGUUUACAAAUGGUAGCAAAUUUCAAGUGGA